rnacentral:rRNA from 1 species
GACGAACGCUGGCGGCGUGCCUAACACAUGCAAGUCGAACGGAGAUAUGAUUUCGGUUGUAUCUUAGUGGCGAACGGGUGAGUAACGCGUGAGCAACCUGACUCUUAGAGGGGGACAACAUCCCGAAAGGGGUGCUAAUACCGAAUACGAGCCUUCCUCCGCAUGGAGGAAGGCUGAAAGAUGGCCUCUAUUUAUAAGCUAUCGCUGAAGGAUGGGCCUGCGUCUGAUUAGCUAGUUGGUGGGGUAACGGCCUACCAAGGCGAUGAUCAGUAGCCGGUCUGAGAGGAUGAACGGCCACAUUGGGACUGAGACACGGCCCAAACUCCUACGGGAGGCAG